GCCCGGAUGGCGAAAUCGGUAGACGCAAGAGACUUAAAAUCUCUCGGGGGCAACCCCGUGCCGGUUCAAGUCCNCGCAUUGUUUCGCUUGAUAAGUUAGGUGCUGGCUCCGGGCACCA
rnacentral:tRNA from 1 species